CUUACCAGAUUGCAAGAUUGCAAUAGACAAAAUGGAUCAAAGUACCCCUUUGUUUAUUUUAAAAAGGUGAAAAAGAUUUCUCUCGCUAGCCAACUGGUCCCAGGUGUGUACACUGGGAGCGUGGCAGACGCGUGCUUCUCCCCUCUUUAACCUCAGACGAAGGCAGUUGGUCUUACUUGCUUUUUCAUUCUUUCUACUAAUAUACUAUACAUAUACAUUAUACUUAAAAUAAAUACAUAAAUGUCAUGCUA